CCUGCCCUCACCUUGACCUGUAAGUUGCCUAGGACAGUGGCCUGGUCCCAGGGGCUGUUGUGGGGAGUUGAAGAACACCCUGGCCUCCUCCAUCAUGUCGGCCAAGAGGGCAGAAUUGAAGAAAACACAUCUGGUAAAAGAGAGACAUCGCUGGACAAGCAAGAACUACAAGGCAGUUUGCCUGGAAUUGAAGCCAGAGCCGACCAAAACAUUUGAUUACAAAGCAGUUAAACAAGAAGGGCGGUUUACCAAAGCAGGAGUGACACAGGACCUAAAGAAUGAACUCAGGGAAGUGAGAGAAGAGCUCGAGGAGAAAAUGGAGGAGAUAAAACAGAUAAAGGAUCUAAUGGACAAGGAUUUUGAUAAACUUCACGAAUUUGUGGAAAUUAUGAAGGAAAUGCAGAAAGAUAUGGAUGAGAAGAUGGACAUUUUAAUAAAUACACAGAAGAACUAUAAGCUUCCCCUUAGAACAGCACCAAAGGAGCAGCAGGAACUCAGGCUGACGGGAAAGACUCACAGAGAACCACAGCUCAGGCCUAAGAAAAUGGAUGGAGCUGGUGGAGUCAAUGGAGCACCCUGUGCUCUUCACAAGAAGACGAUGGCACCACAAAAAACAAAACAGGGGUCACUGGAUCCCCUUCAUCACUGUGGGACCUGCUGCGGUCAGAGAAAAGGAAUAGGGGAAGGACAGUGUGGAGAAGAGAGAGAAAGGAAGGGAGACAAGUAGGAGCGAGAGGACUGGAGAGAAAAAGAAGCUGGGUUUCAAUCCCAUCAUGAGGCGGAGAUCUCACCACGUUGCCCUGGCCGGUCUCCAACCCCUUGUGAGCUCAAGUGAUCCUCCCACCUCGGCCUCCCAAAGUGCUGUGAUUAUAGGUGUGAGCCCUUACACCCAGCCUGUUUGCAUCUUUUAAUGAGUACCCAAAUUAACCUCUAAUUGGGACUUGAUUUUCUACAAGUGCUGCUCCAAGAGGCUUCUACACCCCCGCAGGGAGGCAAGCACCGUUUUGAGGUGGCCGGGCUGGCGAGGGGGUGCAGACCCCAGCCAGCUGGAGGGGCUCUGCCCUGAUGGCGUUCCCACUCCCACCUCAUUCGCAGGGCGCCGGGGAGGGCUGCAGGUGUUCUAUUCCCACCCGGCUUGCAGCGCAAGGAGGGGAAUCGCCUGACACCUUCCCCUUCUCCUCUGCCCCGCUUCCUUUCUCUGCUCCCACAGGUGGAAGUCAACAGCGGAAACAACCCUUCACUGUAUGGAGGGCUGGGAGAGAGGGGCCAAGAGGGCCCCGGGAGAGCCACCGGGCGGCAGGCAGGGGGCGGGGCAGUCUCCCUUCCGGCUUCAGGGACCGAAGGGUGAAUGGCAAGGGGAGCUCAGGGAAUGAACGAGUGCUCCCGACUAAUGUUUAACCCACGACUCCGAGACUCCGACUGGUCACAGUCCUGCAGACCUCCAGGUCCUGCACAGGCGACGCAGCACUCCACUGGCCCGGAAUGCGCACCCCGGGGGAAAUGGAAAGUGCCAUUGAAAUGUCAGAUGUCACCGUCUUCAUCAGCACUCUUGGAAUUUUGGCCAAAGUGGCUUCUUCUUUUGCUGAGACUUGACUCACUCCCGGCAGAGGGAUGAUAGCGGCCUUGCCCCGAGCGUUUAUCCGGCUGCAGGCGUCAUUCUUGGUCGCCUGUGUGUCCAGAGCCCCAGCGCAGGAAGGGAGCGCAAUUCCCACCGCGUCCGCUGGGUGGCGCUAGCGCCGCGCCGUGUCCCGGGAUGAGGGGAAACCGCGCUGCCCAGUCAGUGCCCCGACGCCCCCGCGCCCCCGCCCGGCCCCGCGCGCUGCAGCCACCGCCUCUUCUCGGCUUCCUCUUGCUUUCCAGUAACUCUCCUCCUGGGGAAAAGGCUUUUCACGGAGCAGGCUCGGAGCCUACGGGGCUGGCCUCGGACUGGAUGGGGAGGGUGCUCAACUUGCUGGAGUCAUCUCUGCUAUGGCUUUAUUUGCCAACAACAGAGAACUUGCUCUGCAGCAGCCCCAGGCUCUCUGGGGACCCCACAGGCUAUGCAGAUCCCCCACCCCAGAACCACAGAAGGAGACGGAGCAGAAGCACACCCCGUCUUCCAGGCCCAGGACAGCUGCUGAGCUCCAGGACACGGACUCUUGAAGGUUGAUUUUGACUACUUACUAAGCUCCAGCUGAACCAGUUCCACUUCUUUAACCUUCCCAUGAUCCCUGUGAGGGGUCUGUGGUAUUGCUAUUUGCAAGUAAAGAAAGUGAGAUUGAGGGAGGCUGAAAGACUUGGCCCCAAGUCACAAUGCCCUGCUGAAUGUGGUGCUGCCUCCUGGAUAUCCUGGGUGCUUCAACAUCAACAGCUCUUGGCAAGUGAGUGGGCCACGAAGGAUGGACGAGGGACAUGGGGGAGCAAGCCCAGCUGCACAGUUCCAGCUCUUUCCGCCACAUCACAGCUUCUGCAGUUGGGAAGCCUGAACAGUGAUCUUCAGUUUGUUCGUCAAAGGGCCAAGAAAUCUGUGUCCUCACCUUCUCUGCUUCAAUUCUGGUGCUGCUUAAGCCGAUUAUCAUUUCAUGCCCUAAACCAAAAAAUAAAUUCUACAAACAUCAACAUUACAUAGGACAGGAUCUGGCCCACAGAUUGGGGGCAGGAGCUGCUUUUUCAAUGAGAAGAAUGAACAGACCUAGUGGGCGUUGCCUUUAGACCCAGGUAAGAGGAAUCUCAGCCUUGGGACAUUACUUUCAAGGGCCAAGCCCAUAGGCCAUCCUUCUAGAACAUUCUUUGGGUAGCUAGGGCUUCAUAAGUCACUUACUGGGUUUGUCCUCCUUGAGUGGACUGUGUUGUCAGUGUGCACACCUGUAUUUCCAUGGAAUGGUAUCUUAGUCCUGCUGCUAUAACAGAAUACCUGAGACUGAAAAAUGUAUAAACAAUAGACAUUUAUUUCUCACAGUUCUGGAGGCUGGGAAAUCCAAGAUCAAGGCACCAGCUGGUUUGGUGUCUGGCGAGGGCUGCUCUCUGCUUCCAAAAUGGUGCCUUGGGGCUGGGCGUGAUGGCUCAUACCUAUAAUCCCAGCACUUUGGGAGGCCAAGGCGGGCAGAUCACCUGAGGUCAGGAGGUUAAGACCAGCCUGGCCAACAUGGUGAAAACCCCAUCCCUACUAAAAAUACAAAAAAUUAGCCAGGCAUGGUGAUGCAUGCCUGUAAUUCCAGCUACUUGGGAGGCUGAGGCAAGAGAAUUGCUUGAACCCAGGAGGCAGAAUUUGCAGUGAGCCGAGAUUGCACCACUGCACUCCAGCCUGAGUGAUAGAGUGAGACUCUGUCUCAAAAGACAAACAAACAAAAAACCAAAAUGGUGCCUCAUUGCUGGAUCUUCCAAAAGGGAUGAACGUAUGUUCUUGAAUGACAGAAAAGACAGAAGGGCAGAAAGUGUCCAAACUCACUCCAUCAAUCCCUUUUAUAAGGUGCUAAUCACUCCCUAAACACCCCAUCUCUUAUUACUGUUGCACUGGGGAUUCAGUUUCAGCAUGAGUUUUGGAGGGAUACAGACAUUCAAACCACAGCAUUGUGCACACUCCUUUUUCUAUGGAAUGGCCAAGGUGCAGCUAUUUGCAGAGGCCCUGACAGAGCUCCGCUGUGGAGCUGGGGUGUCCACAUGCCUGUAUGGAAGAACUUUCAUGGCACCGGAGCCUGGUGGGAAGAGAAGUGGGCUGGGCUAUAGACUGGGCACCAGGGACUAUCACCUCGUGCCACCACAUUUAGUGUAGAGUUCCAGAGAGGCCACAAAUUCUUCAUUUGAACUGGACUCCCCAGCCUCAUAUUCCUCUGCAGGAUGUAAAAAGGUAAUGCCAGCAGACGUUGGCAGUGCUGGAGACGCCUGGUGGGCAGAGGUUACCUGGCUGGAGUGGCAGGUGUGAGGAGAUGCCUCCCAGCAUAAGGAAUGUGGGCUUCUGUUGGAUCUCUUGUUCCAGGCCUCACACAUGUUCAAGGCAGCCUGGGUAUGUCUUGGCCCGUUCAAUCCCUCAAAGCCCUGUUUAAUUCUCAUCUUGCUGUCACCUAUGUGGUGCCAAGAAACAAGUCACCAAAAUAAUGAAAUGCCUACCUAAGCUUAAAAACAAAACCAUGAGGUCUUUCUAAAUAAAUUAUGAAAAAAGUGCAAACUGCAGGUCCCUGUAAUGAUUUCAAAGACUCCGUUCCAACAAUGCAUUAAUUUAAAAAGGGAGUAUAAGGCAAAGGGGGGUGAUUAGAAGAGGAAGGCAGCUGACAUCAAACUGAAUAUACCAAGUUUCCUCCUCAAAAACGAGUGUGCAUUAUUUGUGGUGACCAUUCUUGGUAUUGUUCUAUUGCGUAACACACAGCAUAGCAUCAUUCUUUUAGAUGUCAUUCAUUUAAUAUAUGGGCAAAUGUACAUGGUUAGGCUAGACUGGAGCGCUUGUCUACACUGCUU